rnacentral:rRNA from 1 species
CCUACGGGUUGCACCAGUGGGGAAUUUUCCGCAAUGGGCGAAAGCCUGACGGAGCAAUGCCGCGUGGAGGUAGAAGGCCUUAGGGUUGUAAAGCUCUUUCACCGGUGAAGAUAAUGACGGUAACCGGAGAAGAAGCCCCGGCUAACUUCGUGCCAGCAGCCGCGGUAAUACGAAGGGGGCUAGCGUUGUUCGGAAUUACUGGGCGUAAAGGGCGCGUAGGCGGUUUAUGCAGUCAGAUGUGAAAUCCCCGGGCUUAACCUGGGAACUGCAUUUGAGACGCAUAGACUAGAGGUCGAGAGAGGGUUGUGGAAUUCCCAGUGUAGAGGUGAAAUUCGUAGAUAUUGGGAAGAACGCCGGUGGCGAAGGCGGCAACCUGGCUCGAUACUGACGCUGAGGCGCGAAAGCGUGGGGAGCAAACAGGAUUAGAUACCCCUGUAGUC